rnacentral:rRNA from 1 species
GACGAACGCUGGCGGCGUGCCUAAUACAUGCAAGUCGAACGCAGUGGGGACGGGUGAGUAACACGUGGGUAACCUCCCAUCAGAGGGGAUAACACUUGGAAACAGGUGCUAAACCGAUACUGAUGGAUGAACCCGCGGUGCAUUAGCUAGUUGGGGGGGUAACGGCCCACCAAGGCCACGAUGCAUAGCCGACUGGAGGGGGUGAUGGGCCACACUGGGACUGCGACACGGCCAGUACUCCUACGGGAGGCAGCAGUAGGGAAUCUUCGGCAAUGGACGAAAGGCUGACCGAGCAACGCCGCGUGAGUGAAGAAGGUUUUCGGAUCGUAAAACUCUGUUGUUAGAGAAGCGGUAUCUAACCAGAAAGCCACGGCUAACUACGUGCCAGCCGCCGCGGUAAUUC